GUGGAUUAGAUACCCUGGUAGUCCACGCCGUAAACGAUGUCUACUAGGUAUCGGCUGUAUCGACCCAGCCCGUGCCGAAGCUAACGCGUUAAGUAGACCGCCUGGGGAGUACGGUCGCAAGACUAAAACUCAAAGGAAUUGACGGGGGCUCGCACAAGCGGUGGAGCAUGUGGUUUAAUUCGACGGUACGCGAGGAACCUUACCAAGGCUUGACAUCCUCGGAAUCCGUGAGAAAUCAUGGAGUGCCUUUUAGGAAUCGAGAGACAGGUGCUGCAUGUCCGUCGUCAACU
rnacentral:rRNA from 1 species